rnacentral:tRNA from 1 species
GGUUGUGGCUUAGUGGCAGAGCACUUGCCUCACACAUGUGAGGUGUUGGGUUCGAUCCUCAUCACCG